rnacentral:lncRNA from 1 species
AAAAAGGGUCAAAACUCACCUCAAGAGAGAAAUCUCUUCUAAAGCUCGAAAAGAGAGCUAGAACCCUUUCAAUCUAGCCUAGAGGAAGCUUCUAAUCCAACCAAUCUAGCCUCAAAAGCCCUAGAAUCAAAAUGCCCAAAAUAAGCCCUAAAACCUCAUUCUAGGGUUUCAUCUCAAAACCAUCAAUAAAAUUCAAUUCUAGAGGGAGAGAAUAAGUUGCUUACCUCUUAGAAGCUUCAAUCUAGGCUCUAAAUUCUCUAACCUCAAAGAUUUUCCCUCAACAAGGCUCCAAAUCCAAGCUUCAAGCGUAAACAAUGGUGGAAUUGCACCAAAAGAAAAAAAGAGAGAGAUUAAGCCCUUAAUCCAAGCUAAAAAUGAGAUCAAAACUAAGGAGAAGCAUG